GAUGAACGCUGGCGGCGUGCCUAAUACAUGCAAGUUGAGCGAAUGGAUUAAGAGCUUGCUCUUAUGAAGUUAGCGGCGGACGGGUGAGUAACACGUGGGUAACCUGCCCAUAAGACUGGGAUAACUCCGGGAAACCGGGGCUAAUACCGGAUAACAUUUUGAACCGCAUGGUUCGAAAUUGAAAGGCGGCUUCGGCUGUCACUUAUGGAUGGACCCGCGUCGCAUUAGCUAGUUGGUGAGGUAACGGCUCACCAAGGCAACGAUGCGUAGCCGACCGGAGAGGGUGAUCGGCCACACUGGGACUGAGCCACGGCCAAGACUCCGCCGGGAGGCAGCAGUAGUGAAUCUGCCGAAAUGGACGAAAGUCUGACGUAGCAACGCCGCGUGAGUGAUGAAGGCUUUCGGGUCGUAAAACUCUGUUGUUAGGGAAGAACAAGUGCUAGUUGAAUAAGCUGGCACCUUGACGGUACCUAACCAGAAUGCCACGGCUAACUACGUGCCAGCAGCCGCAGUAA
rnacentral:rRNA from 1 species